UACGGAGGAUCCAAGCGUUAUCCGGAAUCAUUGGGUUUAAAGGGUCCGUAGGCGGUUUAGUAAGUCAGUGGUGAAAGCCCAUCGCUCAACGGUGGAACGGCCAUUGAUACUGCUAGACUUGAAUUAUUAGGAAGUAACUAGAAUAUGUAGUGUAGCGGUGAAAUGCUUAGAGAUUACAUGGAAUACCAAUUGCGAAGGCAGGUUACUACUAAUGGAUUGA
rnacentral:rRNA from 1 species